rnacentral:rRNA from 1 species
CGAAUCGGAGCCACGAAGUCGUUUCGUUGUUUAGCCUGGACCAGGUUCAGUUGGGAUCGAGAGGUCCCGGUGUAGUCCUGGGUCUGGCCAAACCUUGUAAGCGUACACUGCAACCAGUUAGACGAUCAGCAGUGGGCACAGUGGUUGUGAUCAGCCAGCAAUGGAUGGUCGCUUCUACGAAGCAAUUGUUUGCGUUGGCUAGUAGUAGCGCGGUCGUGCCUCGGCGCUUCUCGUGUUGCUGGGCCAGCGUGAGUGAACUACAGCUGAAUACUGACUGGCGAAAUGAAAAUCGCCCGCAAGGGUGUUAGAGACAAGGCAGCCAGCCGGAUGCGGGCCUACACGGUCGACUGUUAGGUCUAAGCUUGGCGUUCUUGAAUUCAGACUUGCUAGCUACCAGUGGGGCAACUCCUGGUGCUUGUAUAGCUUCUGUCUAAUCGGGCGUCGACUUGGCUUGGCAUUGUUCGGGCGUGCUACGAUAGGGUCUGCAUGCGAGUUGGUUCGCAAUGUUAAUUGGCAGUGAGUAGGUCGGCUUUCCGA